rnacentral:tRNA from 1 species
GACUGUCUCAGCUCAGUUGGUAGAGCGUCGUAGUAGAAAUCCGGAGGCCGUGGAAUCAAAUCUCGCGACGUUCA